ensembl:lncRNA
GAAAGCCAGCGGCUGGUUGGUUCAGGGACAGGCAGCGGUUCCUGAAGAAGAAGAAGACCCCCCUGAGUCCCUCCCGGUUCCCAGGGGCCUUGGGAGAAGCAGCAAGGGGACAAGCUGGAUCUCGAGCUGGGUGGACCUCACUGCUUCCUACCUGCCUGACCUUGAACAAGCAACUUGAUCAUCCUGAGCCCCAAUUCCCUCAUCUAGGUAAUGGGGACAGGAGUGGUGACCUGGGAUGGGUGUUGGAAGAGAACACGAGGCAACGCUUGUACAAUUCCUGACUCUGGCUCUCCUAUACAGGGGCUCAUAUAAACAGCCAUGAGCCCUAUGGGGUGAAAUGGAUCUGAGUUGGGCACAUUGGCCUCUGGAGAACUUUCCAAACAAACUUAAUCGUCGGUGACUUGCCUUAUUUCUGAUGAACCCGUCGGUGUAAAGUUUGGAAUGGCAAUGCGCUGUCGAUCGCUUCCGUGGAGGUGCGAUCAGGAAGCAGUGACGUCAUGGCGUGCAGCCGCCACCAGUUCCGACCAGCACAGGCUGAGGGGCUUGGAGGAAAGUGAGAAAGAAGAAGGUCCUGCCAGCCCCCAGUGCUCUGCCCAUCCCCCACAUCCAUACCAAGAAAAACAACUGUGACUUUCACUGCAUCAUUAAAUUUUAAUUAUUGCCUGUGUCACCAUCUAUAGCUCCCUAAGUCUGCUAAGGAAAGAAGGAACUAACAUGUACUGAACACCCUCAGUGGUCAAGAACUUGGCAAGACAUCUCAUUUUAAAUCCUAUGGACCCUCUGAAAUGGGCACAGCUCUCCUCGUUUUUCAGAGAAAGAAACUGAGGUUCAGAGAGAUGAAGACUUUCCCCUCCGUAGCCAGCCAAGUACCCCCAAGUGAAUCUGCUGGAAUAUGGUGGCUUUGGUGACUUCCCAACUGAAAGGCUUGAAAAAAGCGACUGGUUGUCACAGGAAUUUGUGCUGCUCUCUCUGAGAUCCAUCCCCAAGGUUUUAGCUGGGAC